rnacentral:rRNA from 1 species
GAUGAACGCUGGCGGCGUGCCUAAUACAUGCAAGUCGAGCGAACAGACGAGGAGCUUGCUCCUCUGACGUUAGCGGCGGACGGGUGAGUAACACGUGGAUAACCUACCUAUAAGACUGGGAUAACUUCGGGAAACCGGAGCUAAUACCGGAUAAUAUAUUGAACCGCAUGGUUCAAUAGUGAAAGACGGUUUUGCUGUCACUUAUAGAUGGAUCCGCGUCGCAUUAGCUAGUUGGUAAGGUAACGGCUUACCAAGGCAACGAUGCGUAGCCGACCUGAGAGGGUGAUCGGCCACACUGGAACUGAGACACGGUCCAGACUCCUACGGGAGGCAGCAGUAGGGAAUCUUGCGCAAUGGGCGAAAGCUUGACGGAGCAACGCCGCGUGAGUGAUGAAGGUCUUCGGGUCGUAAAGCUCUGUUAUUAGGGAAGAACAAAUGUGGAAGUAACUAUGGACGUCUUGACGGUACCUAAACAGAAAGCCACGGCUAACUACGUG